UACGAAGGGGGCUAGCGUUGUUCGGAUUUACUGGGCGUAAAGCGCACGUAGGCGGAUCGUUAAGUCAGGGGUGAAAUCCUGGAGCUCAACUCCAGAACUGCCUUUGAUACUGGCGAUCUUGAGUCCGGAAGAGGUGAGUGGAACUCCUAGUGUAGAGGUGGAAUUCGUAGAUAUUAGGAAGAACACCAGUGGCGAAGGCGGCUCACUGGUCCGGGUACUGACGCUGAGGUGCGAAAGCGUGGGGGAGCAAACA
rnacentral:rRNA from 1 species